rnacentral:rRNA from 1 species
CUCUUCCCUUUCCGAACAGAGAAGUUAAGACCGCUAGCGCUGAUGGUACUGCCAAUGGUGGGAGAGUAAGUCGUCGCCACUC